rnacentral:rRNA from 1 species
GAUGAACGCUGGCGGCGUGCCUAAUACAUGCAAGUCGAGCGAACAGAUGAGGAGCUUGCUCCUCUGACGUUAGCGGCGGACGGGUGAGUAACACGUGGAUAACCUACCUAUAAGACUGGGAUAACUUCGGGAAACCGGAGCUAAUACCGGAUAAUAUAUUGAACCGCAUGGUUCAAUAGUGAAAGACGGUUUUGCUGUCACUUAUAGAUGGAUCCGCGCCGCAUUAGCUAGUUGGUAAGGUAACGGCUUACCAAGGCAACGAUGCGUAGCCGACCUGAGAGGGUGAUCGGCCACACUGGAACUGAGACACGGUCCAAACUCCUACGGGAGGCAGCGUUAGGGAAUCUUCCGCAAGGGGCGAAAGCCUGACGGAGCAACGCCGCGUGAGUGAGGAAGGUCUUUGGUUCUUAAAACUCUUUUUUUAGGGAAAAAAAAAUGUGAAAGUAACAAUGCCCUUCUUGACGGUACCAAACCAAAAAGCCCCGGCUAACUACGU